CGAAGAGGAAAGACGAAGACGAAAUGAAAGCCAUGCUUAAUUUAAGUAAGAGCACAAUAGAAGAUAUAAUUAAAAGGUUUAAACAAGAAGAUCGUAUAGAAUCUAUACCACAAAAAGGACAGUCAAGAAAGUUGGAUAUCAGUGACCAAAGGAAAAUAAUAAGAAAAAUAAAGGUAAAUCCUUAAUUAAGUGCUCUAAAACUAGCUGACGAACUUUUGAUAGAGACAGAAAAAGGUACAUCCCCAAACUAUACGCAGAGCACUGAAAAAAGGUGGUCACAACGGAAGAGUUGCUCAAAAAAGCCAUUUGUAAAAGAGGCAAAUAGAAAGAAAAGAUUAAAUUAUGCACGAUAAUUUUAAAAAGAAAUCACAUGGUGAAAUGACGUAAUUUUUAGCGAUAAAAGUAAAUUUAAUAUUUUUAGCAAAGAGUGGUUGGCGAAAAAAGAAUAAAGAAUCAAAAUUUAAAAAUAUGAAACCCACUGUAAAGCACAGUGGUGAAAGCAUGCUUGUGUAUGAAUCUAUUGCAACGUUUGAAACAGGUGAAAUAGUUUUCAUUGAUAGCAUUAGGGACAAAAAUAUAUAUUUAAACGUUUUAGAAAAAUAAUUUACGCAAAAAUUCAAUAAAAAUUGAAAUUGUUGAUAUUUUUAGAUACUACCAAGAAAAUGACCCCAAACAUAAGGCCCGUAUUGUACAGGAAUAUUUGUUGUAUAACUGUCUAAAAUUGUUACGCCCUCCACCUCAAUCACCAAAUUUGAAACUUCAUUGAAAACUUAUGGGACGAACUAGAAAGGCAAAUUAUAAAACUGCAAUAACGUCAAAAGAAGUGUUGAAACAGCGAUAAAAGGGAGAAUGGAAUGAUAUUAAUAUCGAAUACCUGAUAAAAUUAAUUUGUAAUAUGCCCCAACGUUUGAAGGAAGUUAUUAGUCAAGGAGGUUACUCUACAAGGUAUUAAAUCACUUAUAAAACAUAAAAAUUAAGAAAAAAUUACUUAUAUCUUAGAGUGUCCGAAUAUUCAAGUAAUGUUAAAAUU
rnacentral:misc_RNA from 1 species